GGAGAUUUAGCUCAGUGGUAGAGCGCUUGCCUAGCAAGCGCAAGGUCCUGGGUUUGGUCCCCAGCUCCG
rnacentral:tRNA from 1 species